GUCAAAUGAUGAAAAUAGGUACGCCUUAGACACAUGUUUUUUAUAUUAUUGUCUGAAAUCUUGGUGAUCACACUGAGACUGUGUGGUCGCUGUAAGGCCGGACAUAGAUCACUGAUUGGCCCCUUGGGAGGGUGUGGCCCCUACGUAGAGAUGUUGAUUAGGGCCUGCUUUCUUGGGCUGAUCGAACAGAACCUGGAUCUUCCCAAGUUCAUUUCGGGCCAGGGUGGGGUUUAAUGAGGUUUUUGUGUCUUUGAUGAAGUAUUUAGUAAUCUGAUGACA